UAGGGAAUCUUCGGCAAUGGACGAAAGUCUGACCGAGCAACGCCGCGUGAGUGAAGAAGGUUUUCGGUUCGUAAAACUCUGUUGUUAGAGAAGAACAAGGACGUUAGUAACUGAACGUCCCCUGACGGUAUCUAACCAGAAAGCCACGGCUAACUACGUGCCAGCAGCCGCGGUAAUACGUAGGUGGCAAGCGUUGUCCGGAUUUAUUGGGCGUAAAGCGAGCGCAGGCGGUUUCUUAAGUCUGAUGUGAAAGCCCCCGGCUCAACCGGGGAGGGUCAUUGGAAACUGGGAGACUUGAGUGCAGAAGAGGAGAGUGGAAUUCCAUGUGUAGCGGUGAAAUGCGUAGAUGUAUGGAGGAACACCAGUGGCGAGGGCGGCUCUCUGGUCUGUAACUGACGCUGAGGCUCGAAAGCGUGGGGAGCAAACAGG
rnacentral:rRNA from 1 species